rnacentral:rRNA from 1 species
GACGAACGCUGGCGGCGUGCUUAACACAUGCAAGUCGAACGGAAAGGCCUCUUUCGGGGGGUACUCGAGUGGCGAACGGGUGAGUAACACGUGAGUAACCUGCCCUUGACUUUGGGAUAACUUCAGGAAACUGGGGCUAAUACCGGAUAGGAGCUCCUGCUGCAUGGUGGGGGUUGGAAAGUUUCGGCGGUUGGGGAUGGACUCGCGGCUUAUCAGCUUGUUGGUGGGGUAGUGGCUUACCAAGGCUUUGACGGGUAGCCGGCCUGAGAGGGUGACCGGCCAAAUUGGGACUGAGAUCCGGCCCAGACUCCUACGGGAGGAAGAAGUGGGGAAUAUGGCAAAAUGGGUGGAAGCCUGAUGCAGGAAGGCCGUGUGCGGGAUGACGGCCUUCGGGUUGUAACCCGCUUUCGCUCAUGACGAAGCUUUGUGUGACGGUAGUGGGUAAAGAAGCACCGGCUAACUACGUG